rnacentral:rRNA from 1 species
GCCCAGACUCCUACGGGAGGCAGCAGUGGGGAAUAUUGCACAAUGGGGGAAACCCUGAUGCAGCAACGCCGCGUGAGUGAAGAAGUAUUUCGAUAUGUAAAGCUCUAUCAGCAGGGAAGAAGAUGACGGUACCUGAGUAAGAAGCCCCGGCUAACUACGUGCCAGCAGCCGCGGUAAUACGUAGGGGGCAAGCGUUAUCCGGAUUUACUGGGUGUAAAGGGAGCGUAGACGGCAUAGCAAGUCUGAAGUGAAAGCCCAAGGCUCAACCAUGGGACUGCUUUGGAAACUGUGUUGCUGGAGUGCUGGAGAGGCAAGCGGAAUUCCUAGUGUAGCGGUGAAAUGCGUAGAUAUUAGGAAGAACACCAGUGGCGAAGGCGGCUUGCUGGACAGUAACUGACGUUGAGGCUCGAAAGCGUGGGGAGCAAACAGGAUUAGAUACCCCCGUA